ACCUUUCUCGGGUGCUUAUCAGUGCUUCCUGAUAAAGUAAUUAAUGGAUUUCUCUUCUCCACUGAGCAUUUUCCUGCCCCCAGAGGGCUGUGCUGGGAAGGAAGGUGCUAAUUAGUUCCUGUGUGAUUAUCUGGUUGAAGCAACUGCUUCAAGUCUCUGCAAAUCAUUCUCAGCCCUCGCCCUCUCUGGAGUGAGACUCCAGCUCUCUGUUGAUCCCUUUUGCUGGCUGCCAGCUCUGCCCGCAAAGUAGAGCCCCUUCUGCAGACAGUCCCUCUCUCUCUUACUGCCAGCAUCUGCAGGUGGCACCCUGGGGCCCAGGGCCCUGCCUCCAGCUUGUGAGCCAUCACCAGGAAGCUCUCAGAGAGGUUCCUGGAAACACUUCAAAGCCAGUCCGGAUUAUCUAAGUCUGCCUCAAAGAAAAGAACAAGCAAGGGCGGCAGGGUGUUGUGGAAAGAGCUCUCAGCUGGGGCCAAAGAACUGAAUCUACGCUGAGUUGCGUGACCUUGGAUAAACUCUGCUUCCUCUCCUUAUCUCAGUUUCCCAGAAAAAAAAAAAAGGAGUAAGUCUGUAAUCAGGGAUGGCAAAUUCCCAAUGCCAACUGUGAGGAACCGGCCACAGUUCUGCUCUGACUUGAGAAAAUAAUGAAGCCACCGCCAACCUCAGCGGGUAGACGGAGUUGAAGAGACAGACCAGUGAUGCCAGUCAGGGUUGAUGUGGGUGCUGUGUUUCCAGACAGCGCACUGUUGGUAUUUGGCUCCAGAAGACGACAAGUGUUUGAACUCAGAAAAGCUACCACACCAGUGCCUGGGUCUUUCCCUCCUCCUUGAUCAACCAAGACACAAUGAAAGAAGCUCUAAGCAGGAAAUGGCAAAAGGUAAAACCCUGACAGGGCAGGAGUCAGAAGAAGCUACAGUCGGAACUGUAAGAGCAUCUUCUCUUGGAGCUGCAAAGACAAGAAGCCUGGCUUUUCUCUCCUGCUUGACUGGUGCCCUGAGCAUGGGCUGCUCAGUGUCACAGAUAAUAUCCAGACUCUGCUUUCUCCUCCCUCUGGCCACAGCAGCCUCUACCUUAAAAGUUCAAGAUGGAGCUUCAGCCUCAGCAGUCUCCAGCCUACUGCCUUCCCUUCAUCCAGUAUGCAACAAAGGCUUGUCAAGCUCCCCUGCUCCAGGGCCUCUGCUAGGUUAAAUGGAGUACUGUUCAGAUAUGGAAAGAUCUACCAUCCCUUUCAUAGCAGACUUGCACAGCCAAGGAGGACUUUGAGCUGGGAUCUUGGUGUGAAAUGAAUUAUUCUGCUCCAGAAGACAGCAUCUUAAAUGCACCUGAGCCUGAAUCCUGGAUUUUGCUUCCUUUGUGUUCCUGCCAUUUGCUGUGAUAAAUACCUUUUCUCUCAACAGAAGGAAUAUACGGAUGUGGGCACAGCCAUCUCCCAAAUAACUAGGCUCCUCCAUCUGACUCAGUAGCCAUCCUUCUUCCCAGGACAUCUGCCUCGCAGAACCACCCUCCUGGGGAAUGAGCCAGUGUUUACCCGUGUGUGAUUCUUAAGCAUUUCCUGAGCAUCUGCUGAGCCCUCCACUCUGCAGGAGGUCUCUCUGCAACAUGCAAGUAAUUUCCUUCAAUAAACAUUCAUCAUAUGCUUUCCGUGUUGCAGAGAAUAAGGCUGUACCCAGAGGCAAGGCCUUGCCCUCUUCAAGCUUACCUUCCAGGGGCAUGUGAAACUAGGGAAAGAGAUGGAAAUAUGUAAUUAUGACAAGAAUAAGUUUCUUGUCCUUAAGGAGUUAUUGUUGAAUAGGGAAAAUAAAACAUGGUGAUUGAUCAACCGUAUUUUAUCUAAAAGCCACAGAUAAUGUCCAGUUAGUCAACCAUUAGUUGCCGGUAAGAACAAUGGCCUCUGGUUCCAUUAUGUUGACAAGGAUGCAUGGUGGAGAGUCCUGGUCUGGACUGAGCCCACCCAGAUGGGCUUCCAUGCUCAGCCAUCUGCUGACUGUGAGAUCUUGAGUAAAUGACUUAACCUUCUUGAGUCGUAGACUCAUCUGUUAAAGGGUCUGCCUUACUUCCUUGGUGGUUUGUUGUGACACAGGUAAAUUAUAUAUGUAAGC
ensembl:lncRNA